CACAAAGGCUUGGUCCUGACUUUACUGUCAGCUCUGACCAGAUUUACACAUGCAAGUAUCAGCCCCCCUGUGAGGAUGCCCUACAGUUCCCCGUCCGAGAACAAGGAGCCGGUAUCAGGCACAAUUCCCUUAGCCCAUGACACCUUGCUUAGCCACACCCCCAAGGGUAUUCAGCAGUGAUAAACAUUAAGCCAUGAGUGAAAACUUGACUUAGUUAGAGCCAAUUGAGGGCCGGUAAAACUCGUGCCAGCCACCGCGGUUAUACGAGGGGCUCAAGUUGACAGACAGCGGCGUAAAGCGUGGUUAAGGAACCCCCUCCCCCAAACUAAAGUCGAACGUCCUCAGAACUGUUAUACGUAUCCGAAGAUAAGAAGCCCCAUCACGAAAGUAACUUUAUCUCCCCUGACCCCACGAAAGCUGUGACACAAACUGGGAUUAGAUACCCCACUAUGCUCAGCCAUAAACUUUGAUAGGCCAUUACACCCCCUAUCCGCCCGGGAACUACGAGCACUAGCUUAAAACCCAAAGGACUUGGCGGUGCUUCAGACCCACCUAGAGGAGCCUGUUCUACAACCGAUAUCCCCCGUUGAACCUCACCCUCUCUUUGUUCUUUUCCGUCUAUAUACCGCCGUCGUCAGCUUACCCUGUGAAGGGCUAAUAGUAAGCAAAAUUGGCAAAGCCCAAAACGCCAGGUCGAGGUGUAGUGAAUGAGAGGGCAAGAAAUGGGCUACAUUUCCUGGACCAGGAGACACGAACAAUUCUUUGUGCUGAAAAACACAUUUGAAGGAGGAUUUAGCAGUAAGCGAAAAUUAGAGCGUUUCGCUGAAAUUGGCCCUGAAGCGCGCACACACCGCCCGUCACUCUCCCCAGCAAUAUUCAUGGACCCAUACUUAAACUUUAAUACCAAACAUAGGGGAGGCA
rnacentral:ncRNA from 1 species